GGGAGUCGGGCCCCAUCGGAGUCGGGUUCCUGGGCCCCGGGGGAAUCCUGUUCGUCUCUGAUGCAGCCCUUCUCAUCCGAUGAAGCCUGUCUGUCCAUCUGUACUGGAACAUCUUCCGAACCACUCGCCUGUCUCUGCAGUGCUGCCAGCAGCUUCUCCGGUGGACAUGCCACUGUGUCCUGCACAUUUUGGGCCGCUUAACAAGUCAUCAAAACAACUGCCAUGUGAUUCGGCCCUUGUCGGUUCACUUGGGGUUUGACUUUGUUUGGUGUCAGGCCUCUUGUUCCAAAGCGCCCGUGUGCUUUCUUGGCAGCUGGGGCUGGGAGCUGUGGUGUGUUCUAUGCCACUUGCUGUAUUCCUUUUCUCUGGCAAUGACGUGCCCACAGGGAUGUCCCCCGGGUUGACCUGCUUGUCUUUCCCACCUGGAACCCUGAGCACAGGUUUUUUUUUUACCCACAUCUAAUUGUCCCCCUGGAUAACCCAAUGGCCUGUGCAUUUGAGGCGGUUGGGGACUCGUUUCCCAAAUGGUGUAGGGAGGCAAGAAAUUGAAUACAUGGUUAACUGCCCGGAGACUUGCUUAUGGAAGCAGUACAUCCAAGCAGUGGCGAGGCCGCUUCUGGCCUCUGCAUCGUUCAGCCUGCAAAGCACCCCCAGCCCACCGAGCCUUUGCAGCACUGCUUUGCCACGUUGCCAACACCUGGUAUGUGCCAGAGCUCGCAUGUGCCCUUGAUGCUCGGAAGGUUAAGGGACCCGAGCAGGGGGUGUGUGGGUGUGUGUUUCCCAUCUCUCUGCACAGUCUUAGGUUCUGCCUGUUCAUACUAACAUCUGGACCACCAGUUCCGCAGAUAGCGGUCAAGGCCAACUUUAAGGACCUAAAGACCACUCAGCAGGGGUUUUAGAAAGUGAAGGGGCCGAGUCACAGGCGACUCUUCCCAAGGAGUUUCUUUAAAGCCAACUGGCUAAAUUAGGCAAAGCUUCUGUGUGUCUGCCUCUCUUCUUGCUAGUCUGGCCUUUGCAAAGAGAAAUAAAUAUAUCUUUGUAUAGAGAAAUAACUACACCACGAAUCAUUCAGUGUUUCCUGUGAAUUGUUUGUAAUAUUCAAAGUGAUAGGGAGUAAUGUCCAUUUUAAAAUAUAUCGCUCACCCUUGUGAAGAAAUGUACCAUUUCUGGGGCUUUUUCGGUAACGACCUGGCGGAAUAAUUGCUUCAGUAAAUGGGAAUAAGGUGCUCCUGUCAGGUGGUUAUAUAUGCUUUGGAGGGAAAUUUUAAGACUAGGAGGUUGCAGCCAUUCCGAGCUUUGUUGAGUAUUUAACUUUUUAUUAUUAUAUUUUUUUGUGGAUCCAUCAACCAAGAAGACGGUCAAUUUUAGCGCACACAGCUGUUUAGGAAUAAUAGUUUGAAAGACCAGCCCCAAAGAUCUUGGUGAUUAAAGUGUGAACAGAUGACAGAACGAUAAAACUUAACGUCUAAAAACGUGUUGUUAUUCUUCCCUCCGCCUAUAGUAACAUGGUCUGAUAAAUGCAUCAGGGCUGAACAGGCCGAAGGGAAGAACUUUCCGUGAGGGGAUCCAGAACGCUGUGAAUAGAAACGUUGGCCCCGGUUCCCCUGCGAGUGAUUGACUGUGUGUAGUGAUCAGCGUUAAAGAGGGGGCACCCAGGAGCCCCCUCAGCGCCAUCCUGUGCACACACUCCCAGUUAGAAAUGCACGCGUCGCAUGGGUAUCGAUCACAGUUAUUCCCCAAACACCCCUCACAAAGUCCCUCCGUGUGCAGGUGCGAUUGAAAUGAAUCCAAAUUCACACCAAGGUCCUUAGAAAGAGCACCUCUUUCAGCAGCUGCCCGACCCCCUCCCCUGGACAUUAAAUCACUGGUAGCCUGUGCUGGGUCCGCUGAGAGGCCUGAGCCCCCGGGUUCCUGCCUCUUAGAUGAUGGAUGCUCUGUGGCGAUGUCUUACGUGAGGAGGUGCCCUGAGUGGGAAGCGAGCGCGCAUUUGACUGGAAGAUAGUACAUUGGAUUUAAGGCACUACAGAGACAGAACCUCACCUGCAGCACGUGCGUGAAGCAUGUUUUCAUUUGUAUUUAAACGAACCCCCAUCAAAGACACUUUUCUGAGACCGUCAGGGAAGUCGGGAUAUGGAGGAGGUAAUAGACGGUAUUAGGAAAGUGGUGUUCAUUUGUGCAGGUCACCCUUUUAAACAGAAUUUGUCUUGUCUUACAGCUGUACACUGGCAUGUUUGCACUUGAGGUGGGGUGGUGCCUGGGGUUUGCUUUAAACGAGUCUGGGAAACAUGGCGGGAGGGUAGCGUAAACACAUCCCGGUUGGGAAAUGUUGAUAAUUCUGGGUCAGCUCUGGGUGUGUUUAACUGGCUUCUCUGUUUUGGGGGUAUGCUGGAAAAUUUCCAUAAUGCAGUAUUAUCUGGAUGUCUCAAGAGACAGACUGCCAGGAAAUGGUGGUUAGAAGUCGCCAGUAUCAGGUUCCAGAGCUUCUAGACAGGACGUAGUGUGCACCAGAAUAGACAGAGAAAUUUCUGGGAACCAGACAAGCAAGUUCUGUCCUUUUGAGGUUAUUAUUAUUUGGUGCCUAUUAUAGGUUGAAUUGUGUCCUCCCGAAUUCAUCUGUCAAAGCCCUCUGCCCCAGGGUCUCAAAUCAUGACUGCGUUUGAAGACAGGGCCUUUAAAGUGGUGAUUAGGUUAAAAUGAGGCUGUGGGGUGAACCCUAACCCAAUCUGACUGGCCUCCUUACGAGAGGAGAUGAGGAUGCAGUGAGAAGGCGGUGAGGACUCGAGAGAAGGCGGCCGUCUGCAAGGCCAGGACGGAGGCCUCAGAAGAAACCACCUACACCGAAACCUGGACCUAAGGGUUCUAGCCUCCGGCCCUGUGAGAAGAUGAAUUUGAGUUGUUCACCCAGUGGGAGUAUUUUGUUACGCAGCCCUAGCUGACCAAUACUUGGAUUCUGAUUUGCAUGUGAGGCGGCAUAAAGGCCUGGGCUGUGGGACCCUGGCUGUGGGCCUGGCUCUCCCUCCACCUGGGAAGGAGGGCUCUGUGUGGGCACCUGUGCACACGCCCACUUCGGUGGGACUGUGUUUGUUGGGACGGGGAGGAAGUGGGAAACAGAAGACACCAUGUCGAUUUCAGGGGACUGCAUGAACCCAGAGCUCUCCCUUGGGGUCCCCCUUCUAAAACAGGGCGUCUCACAUGGUUGUGCACAAUGAAUGAUAGGUUUUCCCUCCUUCGCUUGACCUCCGUGUCCCCUGGGUAGGGCACUGUUCUAGCCUCCUUGUCACAUGAAGGACGAUAAGGAGCCAGCCACUCAGAGAGCCCGUGGCGGAGUGUACCAAGCAGCGGAAGCAGUUGUCAGGGCCUCCGGAGCUUGUUUUAGGCGCUAAAGAUGGCAGUGGAAUUAGAGCAGAAAAUGUGAAGAGGAAGGUUCAAGGUGAAGCUUGAGAGGGCGGCAGGGGUCCUGUCACACACAGCCUUGCAAGCCGUGGUGAGGGCUUGAGAUUUUAUUCUAGUUGUGGCUUGUUUUAAGCCACAGAGACAUUGCUAUGAUAUGAAACGUGAUAUAUGGUACAACGUGUGUUUGAUGUCAUAUACGAUAGGGCAUCAUAUAUGGUGUAUGUUUGAUACAUAAGCUAUGCCCUCUGAGAUGGCCUGGUACAAUAUAACGUGACUCAUGCCAGUGCCAUGGCCGCAGGGUAGAGCCUGGAUGGUCAUGGAUGAGGAUUGGAGACACGGAGGCCAAUUAGAAGGUUUAUCAAUAAGGAAUGAGUUCAGCUGCAAGUUAAAGGGAUGACAUCAGCCUCCAGGAGAGAGGACUGGACCAGCUACCUCUGACCCUUUUAUCAGGAAAAUCUGACUUCUCAUAUGUGUGGUGGGCACAGAUUGUGUCACAUGGCCACCUGAGCUGCAGGGAAUGAUGGGAAGGCAUGUGGGAGCCUGCAGGAGAGAAGGCUGCUGGAGGACCAGUUGCCCUUCCUUACUGUGUGGCUUGGUCCCUAUGGCCUGCUGCUCUGGGCAGACUUGUGACCCCCACAAAAGAUGCUCGGGGUAUGCUGAAGUCCUAACCUCUGGUAGCCCAGAAUGUGACCUUAUUAGGAUGCAGGCUUUGUACAGAGAUGCUCAAGUUCAAAUGCAGUUAUCACGGUGGGCGCUGAUCCUCUACGACCAACCACUGUCUUUAUGUAAAGGGGAAAUUUGCAUAUGGAGGCAGACACACACACACACACACACACACACACACACACACAGAGGAAAGACCGGACUGUGCGAAGAGAUUCAGAACGAACAUCACGCGAAGACUGAGGCAGAGGAGGCAGGGAUCAUGUGGCCAAAGCUGAGGAACAUCUGGGGCCGCCCAAAGCCAGAGGAGGUCGAAGGCCCUGCCCUGGAAGCCUUUGGAGGGAGGGCGGCUCUGCCGACCCCUGGGCUUCGCGCGCCUGCCUCCUCUCUGCAGAACGGGUACUUGCUGACCUUCUGAGCCCAUUGGUGGUGCUUCUGUUCCAGCCGCUGUAGGAGCUAACACACUGCAAACUCCUGUUGGCCCUUUAGGACUGGAGUUGUUGAUAGACAGACGGCACCUCCCAAGUCUGGCAUCCCCCGUGCACCACCCUUUCUAGGUGAGGUCUCCCAUCAGGUCCCUCUGCUCCUCUUCUUGUGGCAGCAUGGUCGAGCCCUGAGACCCCCUUUCAGGAGGUUCCCUUAGAGCCAUGGACCCCAAGGAAGGGAGCCAUUUAUCAAACUGCAGGAUAACCACAGCAGUCCAGGGUCUUUUUGUCCGUAGGCUCAGUUUACCGAUUACCUGUCCCUCUUCUUGUGUGCAGCUGUUUCUCUAGCCAGUGUCCUCUGCCUGAUCCCACUGGCUUCAUGAGGAGCCUCUUAGGUUCAUUUCAUGGGUAUAUCAAAGGGUAUAUCCUGCCCCUUGACCACGAUCAGGGUACAGGGCCUGCCUUGGGGUUCUCAGCUGUAAAAUGGGGCUGUGACGACACCUCUCCUGGUUGUUGCAAGGACGAUAGGAAGUCACCUACAGAAGGGUAAGCAUUUUUUUUCCCAUAUUAUGUUCACAGCCAUCAUUACUCGAGCUGCCCAGGCAUUGGCUCCUAGCUCCUUGAGAGCAGAGGUCUUCUGUAUAAAUUUAGUCUCUCCCCCAAGUCCUUGUGCUUGGUCCAGACGGUGAUAAUAGUUCAUGUGAUUUUUAAUUUAAGUCAAUUCAGUAGACAUUGCUGAAUUGAGAAA
rnacentral:lncRNA from 1 species